UAAGCAGCAUCGGGCUUGGUGACCUUGGAUGGGUGAGCACCAGGAAAGCUGUCGGCU
rnacentral:pre_miRNA from 1 species